UACCUACGGGGGGCAGCAGUGGGGAAUAUUGCACAAUGGGGGAAACCCUGAUGCAGCGACGCCGCGUGAGUGAAGAAGUAUUUCGGUAUGUAAAGCUCUAUCAGCAGGGAAGAAAAAAGACGGUACCUGACUAAGAAGCCCCGGCUAACUACGUGCCAGCAGCCGCGGUAAUACGUAGGGGGCAAGCGUUAUCCGGAUUUACUGGGUGUAAAGGGAGCGUAGACGGCGCGGCAAGUCUGAAGUGAAAGGCAGGGGCUU
rnacentral:rRNA from 1 species